GAACAAAAUAUGUUGGGCCGCAGGGCUGUUGUCUUAAACGAGAGAAGCGCAUCUUCUAGUAUCUACUGGUGUUAUCGCUGUUAAUAUUAUAUGAAAUAACGCAUUUGGACGUCUCCUUGUCAAUGUUUCAUUGCAACACUUACCUGCCCUAUAAUUCUUGAGUUUGAGGCUGGUGUACGUUCUGUGUGAAAAUAUACUGUAGUUCCUUCCUACAGUACAGAAGCGAUAAACUGUACAGUUUAGAUUUUCUCCUACUCUACUUUCUGAAGACUCAGCCACAUCAGCUGUUUUUGAAAGUGCAAGCAGCAGGAAGAGUAGUAUACCUUGAAAGG